rnacentral:rRNA from 1 species
GGCUCUGGCAUCGAUGAAGAACGCAGCGAAAUGCGAUAAGUAAUGUGAAUUGCAGAAUUCAGUGAAUCAUCGAAUCUUUGAACGCACAUUGCGCCCGCCAGUAUUCUGGCGGGCAUGCCUGUUCGAGCGUCAUUACAACCCUCAGGCCCCCGGGCCUGGCGUUGGGGAUCGGCGGAAGCCCCCUGCGGGCACAACGCCGUCCCCCAAAUACAGUGGCGGUCCCGCCGCAGCUUCCAUUGCGUAGUAGCUAACACCUCGCAACUGGAGAGCGGCGCGGCCACGCCGUAAAACACCCAACUUCUGAAUGUUGACCUCGAAUCAGGUAGGAAU